AUGGGGUUUAGGGACAUGCACUUGUUUAACCAAGCUUUGCUAGCAAGACAAGGUUGGCGAAUUCUUCAAAGGCCGGAGAGCUUGUGUGCCAGAGUGCUCAAGUCCAAGUAUUUUCCUAACGGUGAUAUUCUUGACACCGUGUGUUGCAUCAUAUGCUUCCCCGGCUUGGAGAGGUAUUGA
rnacentral:rRNA from 1 species